AAUUCUCAACCUUAGCUUGCUUUAUUGCGAGCCAAGGCUUGGAUGUGAGGGCUUGCUGGCUUCCUUCAGUGGAUGGUCUGCUCCCUUUAAAUGCAUUAGUGGGAUCCUUUGUGGACGUCACUUGGUGUGAUAAUUAUCUACGCCUCGGACUGAAGCAAGCUUUUGGGAACCCGCUUAUAACCGUCCAUUUGCUUGGACAAUUCUUGACAAU
rnacentral:misc_RNA from 1 species